GACGAACGCUGGCGGCGUGCUUAACACAUGCAAGUCGAACGGAAAGGCCCUGCUUUUGUGGGGGGCUCGAGUGGCGAACGCGUGAGUAACACGUGAGUAACCUGCCCUUGACUUUGGGAUAACGUCAGGAAACUGGCGCUAAUACCGGAUAGGUGCUCCUGCUGCAUGGUGGGGGUUGGAAAGUUUUGGCGGUUGGGGAUGGACUCGCGGCUUAUCAGCUUGCUGGUGGGGUAGUGGCUUACCAAGGCUUUGACGGGUAGCCGGCCUGAGAGGGUGACCGGCCACAUUGGGACUGUGAUACAGCCCCGACUCCUACGGGAGGCAGCAGUGGGGAAUAUUGCACGAUGGGCGGAAGCCUGAGGCAGCAACGCCGCGUGCGGGAUAACGGCCUUCGGGUUGUAAACCGCUUUAGCCUGUGACGAAGCAUGAGUGACGGUAAUGGGUAAAGAAGCACCGGCUAACUACGUG
rnacentral:rRNA from 1 species